rnacentral:rRNA from 1 species
UGAGAAAUAGCUACCACUUCUACGGAGGGCAGCAGGCGCGCAAAUUGCCCAAUGUCAAAAAAAAACGAUGAGGCAGCGAAAAGAAAUAGAGCCGGCAGUGCCAAUGGCAUUGCCGUUUUCAAUGGGGGAUAUCUAAACCCAUCCAAAAUCGAGUAUCAAUUGGAGGACAAGUCUGGUGCCAGCACCCGCGGUAAUUCCAGCUCCAAAAGCGUAUAUUAAUGCUGUUGCUGUUAAAGGGUUC